rnacentral:tRNA from 3 species
UGGAGCCGGUAGACAGAUUCGAACUGCCGACGUUUGAAUACCUGAUUACAAAUCAGGUGCCUUCGACCGCUUGGCUAUACCGGC